rnacentral:misc_RNA from 1 species
UACGAAGGGGGCUAGCGUUGUUCGGAUUUACUGGGCGUAAAGCGCACGUAGGCGGGUAUUUAAGUCAGGGGUGAAAUCCCGAGGCUCAACCUCGGAACUGCCUUUGAUACUGGGUACCUGGAGUCCGGGAGAGGUGAGUGGAAUUGCGAGUGUAGAGGUGAAAUUCGUAGAUAUUCGCAAGAACACCAGUGGCGAAGGCGGCUCACUGGCCCGGUACUGACGCUGAGGUGCGAAAGCGUGGGGAGCAAACAGG